UGGGGAAUAUUGGACAAUGGGCGCAAGCCUGAUCCAGCCAUGCCGCGUGAGUGAUGAAGGCCUUAGGGUUGUAAAGCUCUUUUUGCCGGGGACGAUAAUGACGGUACCCGGAGAAUAAGUCCCGGCUAACUUCGUGCCAGCAGCCGCGGUAAUACGAAGGGGACUAGCGUUGUUCGGAAUCACUGGGCGUAAAGCGCACGUAGGCGGAUUUGUAAGUCAGGGGUGAAAUCCCGGGGCUCAACCUCGGAACUGCCUUUGAUACUGCGGAUCUCGAGUCCGAUAGAGGUGAGUGGAAUUCCUAGUGUAGAGGUGAAAUUCGUAGAUAUUAGGAAGAACACCGGUGGCGAAGGCGGCUCACUGGAUCGGUACUGACGCUGAGGUGCGAAAGCGUGGGGAGCAAACAGGAUUAGAUACCCCCGUAGUCCCUGAGCGGGCUGGCAAGGCGCAU
rnacentral:rRNA from 1 species